AUGGUCAGGUGACGAAACGUCAGGGUCUGGGCUCCGUGUCAAACCGACUUUAAUCACGUGAGAUGUAGUGUGCCCCGAUAUUCCCCGAUCGGCACCCAGACAAACCACGUGUCAGAUUAGCCGGCGGGCAUAGCCGCGCGGCGCCGGUUCCGAACUUGGGCACCAAGGCCCAGGCCCUUGCGAGGCUGUGACAGGGCGCCGAGGCUAUCUAUCUUUUUGUCGCCUUGAGCCCCUCCGGCUUCAAUAUUGCCGUGGCCGCUUGCCUCCGAACAUCGACAGGGAAAAUACAGAGGAACGUACAUUCUAAAAGAGCCG
rnacentral:sRNA from 2 species